UACGGGGGGGGCAAGCGUUGUUCGGAAUUACUGGGCGUAAAGGGCUGGUAGGCGGCCAACUAAGUCGGAUGUGAAAUCCCUCGGCUUAACCGGGGAACUGCAUCUGAUACUGGAUGGCUUGAGUUCGGGAGAGGGAUGCGGAAUUCCAGGUGUAGCGGUGAAAUGCGUAGAUAUCUGGAGGAACGCCGGUGGCGAAGGCGGCAUCCUGGACCGACACUGACGCUGAGGAGCGAAAGCCGGGGGAGCAAACGGG
rnacentral:rRNA from 1 species